ACUCCUACGGGAGGCAGCAGUGGGGAAUAUUGCACAAUGGGCGCAAGCCUGAUGCAGCCAUGCCGCGUGUGUGAAGAAGGCCUUCGGGUUGUAAAGCACUUUCAGUCGUGAGGAAGGUAGUGUAGUUAAUAGCUGCAUUAUUUGACGUUAGCGACAGAAGAAGCACCGGCUAACUCCGUGCCAGCAGCCGCGGUAAUACGGAGGGUGCGAGCGUUAAUCGGAAUUACUGGGCGUAAAGCGCAUGCAGGUGGUUUGUUAAGUCAGAUGUGAAAGCCCGGGGCUCAACCUCGGAAUAGCAUUUGAAACUGGCAGACUAGAGUACUGUAGAGGGGGGUAGAAUUUCAGGUGUAGCGGUGAAAUGCGUAGAGAUCUAGAAGGAAUACCGGUGGCGAAGGCGGCCCCCUGGACAGAUACUGACACUCAGAUAGCGAAAGCGUGGGGA
rnacentral:rRNA from 1 species